AGUGACGAGGACAAUGUCUCCACCACAGGAGGACCCAACUACAUUGAGGUGAUUCCUGAGUCGGCUCCUCCAGUUACCCCAACUGUUGUUCCUGGCUCCAUGCAGAGUCUCUGCUCUUCACAAACCUCCAAAGAGUACGUAAACCAAAGUCCCAUGACGACACGGGUAGUUGAUGAUGGUGUGAUACCAAAUGGCGGAGGGACGGAGGAGGAGGAGAGUGAUGAUGACAGCCUUUACCAGAACAAUGACCCUGAGCCCACAGAAACCGAUAGCCUGACGGUGACGAUUGAGCUGAGGUACGAUGACGGUGA